CUUUACACUCCAACCUCUCUUUCUCUCUCAAAAAGCACUCAGUGGCAGCUGCGUUCACUUUUCUCCAUUUUCACUUCUUCAAAGCGUACGCAAAGAAGCCUCAGACCUCUAACUUCAGCUUCUUUUUCCCACUCCAGAGACUGUAAACCCUGCAGAUUUUUUAGCUGCCACAAUGGUCGACGUCGACCGGAGAAUGACCGGUCUCAAUCCGGCUCAUAUAGCCGGCCUACGCCGUCUCUCUGCCCGAGCCGCCACUCCCUCAACCGCUACUUCACUUCCUGUCCGUAAUGGUCUAGUCUCUUUCUCUUCUCUGGCGGAUAAAGUUACAACUCAUUUGCGUAACUCCGGUAUCCAAGUCCAGCCGGGUCUUUCUGACGCUGAGUUCGCGCGAGCUGAGGCAGAGUUUGGCUUCGCUUUCCCUCCCGAUCUUCGCGCCGUACUCUCCGCUGGUUUGCCCGUUGGUCCUGGCUUCCCAGACUGGCGUUCCGCUGGUGCUCGCCUCCAUUUACGUGCCUCGCUCGAUCUUCCUAUCGCUGCUAUCUCGUUUCAAAUCGCACGCAACACUCUCUGGUCCAAGUCAUGGGGCCCGAGACCAUCCGACCCGGAAAAGGCAUUGAGGGUGGCGAGAAAUGCUUUGAAGAGAGCUCCGCUUUUGAUUCCCAUUUUCAACCAUUGUUACAUUCCUUGUCACCCUUCUUUAGCUGGUAACCCCAUCUUUUUCGUCGAUGAGAAUCAGAUCUUCUGUUGCGGUUUGGAUCUAUCUGAUUUUUUCGACCGAGAGUCCCUCUUCCGGAGCUCCGAGUCGGACCCUAUACUUCUAAAGACGCAAAGAUCCGUUAGCGAGAAGUUGGCUGGGUCUUCCACAAAUUAUUUGCGUCGAAGCUUGGAUACGGAUACAGCAAAUGGAGCGAGAACCCCUAGAUGGGUCGAGUUCUGGAGCGACGCAGCCGUGGACCGCCGGAGGCGAAACUCGGCAUCUUCCUCCUCAGAGUCAUCUUCUUCGGAGCAGUUUUUGGAUAUACCGAGAUCGGAGAUGCCAAAAUGGGUGGAGAAGUACAUAGAGCAAAUCGGUUCGGUUUUGAGAGAGGGCGGUUGGAGCGAAACUGACAUAGCUGAGAUUGUACACGUGUCAGCAUCUGGUUUCUUUGAAGGGGAGAUGGUUUUGUUGGACAAUCAAGCAGUCCUGGACGCUCUGCUGUUGAAAGUGGAUCGGUUCUCCGAUUCGCUCCGGAAAUCUGGUUGGAGCUCCGAAGAAGUUUCAGACGCGUUAGGGUUUGAUUUUCGACCGGAAAAGGAAAGGAAACCCGCUAAGAAAUUGUCACCUGAGCUGCUUGAGAAGAUUGGGAAAUUAGCUGAGUCAGUUUCCCGGUCAUAAAGUCAGCAUCGA
rnacentral:misc_RNA from 1 species